rnacentral:rRNA from 1 species
AUUGAACGCUGGCGGCAUGCUUUACACAUGCAAGUCGAACGGUAACAGGGACUUCGGUCUGCUGACGAGUGGCGAACGGGUGAGUAACAUAUCGGAACGUGCCCAGUAAUGGGGGAUAGCUCGGCGAAAGCCGGAUUAAUACCGCAUACGCCCUGAGGGGGAAAGUGGGGGAUCUUCGGACCUCACGUUAUUGGAGCGGCCGAUAUCAGAUUAGCUAGUUGGUGGGGUAAAGGCCUACCAAGGCGACGAUCUGUAGCUGGUCUGAGAGGAUGAUCAGCCACACUGGGACUGAGACACGGCCCAGACUCCUACGGGAGGCAGCAGUGGGGAAUUUUGGACAAUGGGCGAAAGCCUGAUCCAGCCAUGCCGCGUGAGUGAAGAAGGCCUCGGUGUAAGCUCUUCAGUGGAAGAAGACGGAUG